rnacentral:rRNA from 1 species
AUUGAACGCUGGCGGCAGGCCUAACACAUGCAAGUCGAGCGGAUGAAGGGAGCUUGCUCCUGGAUUCAGCGGCGGACGGGUGAGUAAUGCCUAGGAAUCUGCCUGGCAGUGGGGGAUAACGUCCGGAAACGGGCGCUAAUACCGCAUACGUCCUGAGGGAGAAAGUGGGGGAUCUUCGGACCUCACGCUAUCAGAUGAGCCUAGGUCGGAUUAGCUAGUUGGUGGGGUAAAGGCCUACCAAGGCGACGAUCCGUAACUGGUCUGAGAGGAUGAUCAGUCACACUGGAACUGGGACACGGACCAGACUCCUACGGGAGGCAGCAGUGGGGAAUAUUGGACAAUGGGCGAAAGCCUUAUCCAGCCAUGCCGCGUGUGUGAAGAAGGUCUUCGGAUUGUAAAGCACUUUAAGUUGGGAGGAAGGGCAGUAAGUUAAUACCUUGCUGUUUUGACGUUACCAACAGAAUAAGCACCGGCUAACUUCGUG